AAAAACAAAAAUCUUUUUAUCAACCAUCAAAACAGAUAGAUCAUCAAUAAAUAAAAUAGGAUAGUCAAGCACGUUUCGAUCUAAGUGUUCAUCAACACGAUCUUUAUCACUAUCCGAGGAGUACAAAAGUGUUUCAAAGGUUUCAAGCAUCUUACCUCGAUAAGCAGAAGAAUAAGGGUCGAUUUUACCUUUUUCAUUUAAAACAAACCUUCGCUCAUCGGGGGUAUAGUGUAGUCGAAUCUUCGUUGUUGAGUUAACGUUUGUCAAAUGGAACUCAAACUUCAU
rnacentral:lncRNA from 1 species